GACGAACGCUGGCGGCGUGCUUAACACAUGCAAGUCGAACGGAAAGGCCCUGCUUUUGUGGGGUGCUCGAGUGGCGAACGGGUGAGUAACACGUGAGUAACCUGCCCUUGACUUUGGGAUAACUUCAGGAAACUGGGGCUAAUACCGGAUAGGAGCUCCUGCUGCAUGGUGGGGGUUGGAAAGUUUCGGCGGUCGGGGAUGGACUCGCGGCUUAUCAGCUUGUUGGUGGGGUAGUGGCUUACCAAGGCUUUGACGGGUAGCCGGCCUGGGAGGGUGACCGGCCACAUUGGGACUGAGAUACGGCCCAGACUCCUACGGGAGGCAGCAGUGGGGAAUAUUGCACAAUGGGCGGAAGCCUGAUGCAGCAACGCCGCGUGCGGGAUGACGGCCUUCGGGUUGUAAACCGCUUUCGCCUGUGACGAAGCGUGAGUGACGGUAAUGGGUAAAGAAGCACCGGCUAACUACGUG
rnacentral:rRNA from 1 species